rnacentral:lncRNA from 1 species
UAGAAUUAAACUAUUAUAAUUAAAUACUCAUAGGAAAUUAAUAUAUCUAGCCACGACGAGGCCGGGUGUUCUGGUCGUGCCGGAGAUGACUAUUUUCAGGAAGCAAAUGAUUAUUUCAAUUACCUGGACGAAUGCACGUUGGGGACUCACGGUGGAAGUGAGACCAACCCUGACACCGAUGCUGGCACCGGCACUGACAC